GGUCAAUGGUGAGAACUCAUAUGGUCUCAAAGAGAGAUGAUGACAUAAAAAUCUUGCUCAAUAGGAUUAUGCUGAGGACC